rnacentral:rRNA from 1 species
AGUGAACGCUGGCGGUAGGCCUAACACAUGCAAGUCGAACGGCAGCACAGUAAGAGCUUGCUCUUACGGGUGGCGAGUGGCGGACGGGUGAGGAAUACAUCGGAAUCUACUUUUUCGUGGGGGAUAACGUAGGGAAACUUACGCUAAUACCGCAUACGACCUACGGGUGAAAGCAGGGGAUCUUCGGACCUUGCGCGAUUGAAUGAGCCGAUGUCGGAUUAGCUAGUUGGCGGGGUAAUGGCCCACCAAGGCGACGAUCCGUAGGUGGUCGGAGAGGAUGAUCCGAAACAUUGGAGUUAGAACACGCACGAGACUCCUCCGGGAGCGAGCAGCGGGGAUUUUUGUACAAUGGCUAAAAGUCUGAUCCAGCCUUACCGGGUGGUGGAUGACAGCUUUCUGUUUGUAAAGCUGUUUUUUGAGAGAACAAAGGCUGACGCUAAUGACCUUAAUGUUGAGAAGGCACCUAAAGAUUAAGCUCGGGCUAAUUUCGUG